AGCGCGUCUCCCCACUUCCUGAACAGGGUCUUCCUUGGAUGCCUUUGAAUUGUGCCCUCUACCAAAUACCCUCCCACCUUGUAGACAGAGACAUGGUGAGUUUGUUUCACUUCCUGCCAGUGCUCACUGUCCUACCUGAUGCGGGUCAGCUAGAACACUUGAUCAGGGCUAUAGCCCCAGAUAUAAAAUCGUGGCCAUGAAAUUCACUGUGAAUUUCUCAGGUCUUCCACCAGAUUUGGGUUGACC
rnacentral:lncRNA from 1 species